GGGGGAAUAGCUCAGUUGGGAGAGCAGCAGACUGAAGUCGAUACCGAUGCGAAACCAAGUUAUUCUGAAGGUCCCGCGUUCAAUCCGCGGUGCCCCCA